rnacentral:rRNA from 1 species
AAUUAUAAUAUUUUUGCUUUUUGGAUAUAUUUUUAGUUUUUUGAUGGAAAUAACUUUUAUUUUAGUAUAUUUUAUUGAAAUUAUUAUUUUAGCAAUAGUUUAUUUUACUGUAAAGGAUACUUUAUUUUAUGUUAUAAGCAGAUUUUUUUUAUUGUACCUUUUGUAUCAGGGUAUAUUUAUUAUAAUUUAAUUAUUAUUAAUUUUCCCGAAGUUAAAGGAGAUAUAUUUUUAUGUUGUUUUAUGUUUUAUAAUAAUCAUUAAUUUUUAUAUAGGGGUUAUAUGCUAUUCAACUUUAAAUAUCUGGUUACUCAAUAAUUUAAUUUAAUUAAGAUUAUUAUUUAGUUGUUUAUUAAUUUAAUUAUUUUCAAUAAUAAUAAUCAAGUUUAUAAGGGAUAAGCUUUAUAUAUAUAUUAUAACACUAGGUUAAAUUAAAAUUUUGUAGGUUUAAUAACGACCAUCAUUUAUUUCGUUAUAGUUAAUUUUUAAUUUUAUUUUAUUUAAUUUUAGUUUAAUUUUUUAUUGAGUUUUUUUAUUUAAUUUUAAUUUUAUAAGUAAUAAUGAUUUAAUUAGUAGUUUUGUAAAUUUAAAUAUAGUAAUUCGGCAAAUUUAAUUCUCACCUGUUUAACAAAAACAUGUCCUACAGAUUAAGUAAUUUUAGGUCUAACCUGCUCAGUGAUUAUAUUAAACAGCCGCAGUAUUUUGACUGUGCGAAGGUAGCAUAAUCAUUUGUCUUUUAAAUGAAGGCUAGAAUGAAUGGUUGAAUGAGGGAUUAACUUUCUUUUUUUAAAUUUUAUGAAUUUGAUGUUUUGGUUAAAAAGCUUAAAUUAUCUUGCAAGACGAGAAGACCCUAUAGAAUUUUAUUUCAUUUAAUAUAUUUAUUUUUUGGUUAAUUAUUUAUAAAUAUAUAAAUUGGAAUUUUGUUGGGGUGACAUUGAAAAUUAAUUAACUUUCAAUUUUUAUUUUUCAUUUAUUUAUGUUUAAUUUGAUCCUUUAUUAAAGAUUAUAAGAUUAAAUUACCUUAGGGAUAACAGCGUAAUUUUUUCGGAGAGUUCUUAUCGAUGAAUGAAGUUUGCGACCUCGAUGUUGGAUUAAGGAAAGUUUUGGGUGUAGUAGCUCAAAUUAAACUAAGUCUGUUCGACUUUUGAAUCUUUACAUGAUCUGAGUUCAGACCGGUGUGAGCCAGGUUGGUUUCUAUCUGCAAAUUAAUAAUUACAAUUUAGUACGAAAGGACCAAUUGUGAGUAAUAUUUAUCUACUUUUGAUUAUUUAUUA